GUAUGAUCUCGUGAAACCUUGAGAGAAAGUGAAUGACGAAUGAAACUAUUGUUCCUGUUUCACACAGAAGAAAACUGAGGUUGGCAAUCAUGAUGAGCCCCUGUUCUCAUUCUGCAAAUGGUGAAGCUCUCUAUUGUCCUGACCCCACAGUUCCUGUCCCAUGAGCAGGGCCAGCUCACCAAGGAGCUGCAGCAGCACGUAAAGUCAGUGACAUGCCCAUGCGAGUACCUGAGGAAGGUGAGUGAGUGCAGACAGAUGGGGCCUGGUGCCCUUGAGCAGUUCCCGGGUCUCAGCUGCCACACAUCUCAUAGCGGGUGAUGCUGGGGGAAGCUUACGCAGUCACAGUACUGGCUUCUUCCUCUUUUUCUUUCCAUACAAGUGGCUUAGGGAUGGGGUAGAGUAGUUGACUUAUUUGGAUGAAAACCACUAUCUUCUGUCAGAAACUCAAAAGGA
rnacentral:sRNA from 1 species